rnacentral:lncRNA from 1 species
CCUCAAAUUUUCUCCAUGCAAAAGCAGAGAAUAGGCGCCAAAAAUUGGCGCCCUACUUCUCAUCCUUAUCCGGUCCAGGGAAAGAAGAAAAGAUGGGACUCUUGCUUUGACUUGGUUAAAUCCUAUCUAAUAGGUUGAUCAAGUCAAGGAGAAUUUGGGUUUAAUCUUGUGCUAACAUGGUACACCUAAACCCAAUAGAUUUCUCAAAUCCUAACUCAAUUGUAACUUCACAAAUCCAAAUUGGUGCCCCACUUCUCAUCCUUAUUUGGUCUAGGGAAAGAAGAAAAGAUGGG